rnacentral:lncRNA from 1 species
UCCCCAACCGCCCAGGAAGAACACCCAGGUCAGAAGCUGAGGGCUCGGAUGGAGGGCCGUCCCAGGAGGUCCCGAGUGUCCGGCGCGUGGGAAGGACACACCUGGAGAACACACCGCCCACAGAGCUGGCCUCCCCUCCCCGCUACACGACUGCUGCGGCUUGCUGCGUUCAAGGCCCUCCACGCUGCACACAGGUGGCCCACAGGCAUCAGCCCCCAUCUUCUCAGAGGACAGCCUCCGGAAGCUUCCUAAAGGCCACCAACGCCAGCAUCCAUUGAAUUGGGAACCCCAGCCAGGCAGGAACCUGCUAUUCCAGAGCCAGACAUCCCAACCCGUGGACUCAGGCUCCUCAGAUCCGGGAUGAGACAGAGGCCCCAUCCCCAACUGUAGUGAGCCCCACUGAGGUCCAGGACAAUGGGCCUGUGGGCCCCAGGGAGCUGCCCAGGCCAUAGGUCUGCCCGCGGUCUGCUCUGGGGUGCACCCCUGGUUCCUGGUUCCCCAGGGCCCCGGACUCCCACCUAGAAGCAGGAAGUAGUCUGCAGGAAACAGCAGGAGGGCGGGGGUAUCUUACUGUCAGGGGCUCUGCCAGGAGGACCCUGGGGUGAGCUGGGGACAGACAUUGGGGGGUUGUGGAUUGGGGUCCCCCCGGCUAGCUGGGCCAUGGGCAUCAGGGGAAGGGCCAGAGGUGAUCUGGACUUCCUUAACCGCGAGAAAAAUGACUCAGCUAAAUUGAGGAAGAUUUCCGUUUCGGCAGACUACUUUUUCCACUACGAUGCUCUGGGACGUUUCCCCUUUGGAGGCUGCUCGAGAUACCUGGCUGAUAAAGGGCUGAUUUGCAGAGACUUAAUUAUGGCCCGAAGCCCUCAGUGUAAACAAUGGGUGAGUGUUUAUUCUACUGCCUCCCCUCAGUGCUAAUGGGGAGCACAAACCAGGUGCCCUGUAGUGGAACUUGGUGAACCUGGAUUCUUGGGUUCCCUAAGCUGUCUCCCCUGUGGGAGGAAGGCAGCAGGGCCAAGGGGUCGGUGUGCGCCCCCGGAGUCUGGCUGCCCAGCUUGGGGUCCUGGCACCACAGAUUCCUGACAACUUGCUGCUCACCUGUAAGGGACAAGGGUGGUCAUCUGGCAUGAAAGGGGAAGGCUGUCGCAUGGCGAGUGCUCAGAAAAGGCCGGACAGCGGACAGCGGUGCUGGGGAGGUGGCACUGUCCUGACCUUGACCCUGGCCGCAGCCCCUGGGAGGAAGCAUGUGGAUCCUCGGGUCCAUCCCAGGCCAGCUGGAUGAGCAGUGAGGUGGCGUGAGUUGAGGUUCUCAGCGGCCCUGCCCACAUCUGCCCCCGUGCCCCAUCCCCGACCACCCAGGGGUGUUCACGAGGUGCCCAGGCCUGCAUGUGGCUGCCUUCUCUACAGGCCUUACAUUCCCCAGGGAUCAAGGUGGUUCCAAGGUGGCAAGUUUGAGGACUGCCCUGUGUACCCUCCCUGGCACACCCCAGCGUAUCCUG